rnacentral:rRNA from 1 species
CGGACGGGUGAGUAAGGGGUGGGGAUGUGCCCUUUGCUACGGAAUAGUCCCGGGAAACUGGGUUUAAUACCGUAUGUGCCCUUCGGGGGAAAGAUUUAUCGGCAAAGGAUCAACCCGCGUUGGAUUAGGUAGUUGGUGGGGUAAUGGCCUACCAAGCCGACGAUCCAUAGCUGGUUUGAGAGGAUGAUCAGCCACACUGGGACUGAGACACGGCCCAGACUCCUACGGGAGGCAGCAGUGGGGAAUCUUAGACAAUGGGGGCAACCCUGAUCUAGCCAUGCCGCGUGAACGAUGAAGGCCUUAGGGUUGUAAAGUUCUUUCAGCUGGGAAGAUAAUGACGGUACCAGCAGAAGAAGCCCCGGCUAACUCCGUGCCAGCAGCCGCGGUAAUACGGAGGGGGCUAGCGUUGUUCGGAAUUACUGGGGCGUAAAGCGCACGUAGGCGGACUAUUAAGUCAGGGGUGAAAUCCCGGGGCUCAACCCCGGAACUGCCUUUGAUACUGGUAGUCUUGAGUUCACAGAGGUGAGUGGAAUUCCGAGUGUAGAGGUGAAAUUCGUAGAUAUUCGGAGGAACACCAGUG